GACAAAUGCUACAACAGUAUAUAUGUUCCAUUUUAUCCUUAGGAAGUGGACAACGGAAUAUUGGAUGUGGUAAAGAAGAUUGGUUUCUAAUUAAUUAUUCAGUUAACAUCUUGUCCUCCAAAAAAGUUGGAGGAAAUAUAGUCUUUACAAAAAAGCUUACACUGCACAAAUGCUAGCCAUGAUUGCCCCAAACUUCACAUUUGGUGUAAUUGUGUGAUCAGAUUGAAGACUAUAAAUCGAACAAGAGGUGCAAUGAUGUGCACCACUGCACCUAUGAUAUAUUUCUUCUGCCCGAUCAAAUUUGUAACCUGCACUCAGCAGUUUUAUUUUCUGCACCUUCCCUGAUAAAACUAGAGGCUACCAAGGAGCCAAACACAGCAUUAAAUAGGAGUACCAAAUCCUCUAGCUAUGCUUAAAAUUUGAAGUGUACGCAAUUGUGCAUAAAGGAUGUUGUGUCUAGUAUGGAAUACAAUUACAAAGUUGAAAGCACUACAGAUUUCUGGAGGCAUACCAUCAGAAUGCUUCCUUGACUGGUUGGAUAGAUCAUGAAAACAGCAGUAGUUGCCAACUUAAUCUGAAUAUGCAACCCUUUACUAUAGCAAUUUAUGCUUCAGCUCUUAAUCAGGUUGAUUUGUAGUUUCAAAUAUUUUUAGUGUUCAAACUUGUCAAGUUGGAUGAGUUUGUUUUGCAUCCACCACACAAGUCGAUGUGGUCUCCAUAAAAUUAACAGUUUAGACAGUCAAGCAGAGCACCAUUGCCAUAUGUAAUAGCCUUUCAACCCUUUAUGCAAGAAAAGAAUAGCUCAGUAGGUAUGUUGCUUAAGGUUCUGGCAAUGUGGAUGAGUUUAAUUUGCUGUCCAACAAUCCAAUAUCCCCUAUAAAACUAAUAUUGAUUUGAGAGCCAAGAAGAAGGGCUUCCCAAACUCUAACACCCGGAGAAACAUUCUUAUUAACCAUUUUCUCAAGUAAUUCCAGUGCUUUACAUAUCAAGCCAAGUUGGCACAAUCCACAAAUUAUCUCAUCAAACGUCAAACUCUGAGGACAUAAACCCUUAUCCAGUUCUUCCUCCAACAAAGCACAAGCUUCAAUAAGUUUUCCACCAUUAAUCAAACCAUCAAUCAUAACCUUGUAUGUUUGCAUACUCAAUCCAAUGCCUUUUGAACUCAUCUCCCUCACAAGGUCCCUUGCUUUGCUAAGUUCUCCACUGUUACAUAACGCCUCCAAUAACAUAUUAUAAGUAUUCAAAUUAGGUUUGCAUCCCAACUCCUCCAUACUAGCUGCCAUUUUAAUCCCUUCCUCUACUUUGUUUUGCUUACACAAGGCGUCUAUAUAAACAUUGUAAGUAUAAACAUCAGGGACCAAACCAAAUACAAGCAAUUCGUCAAACAGCUCAUCUGCCUUGGAAUAAAAACCACUUGCAAUAACACCAUUCAAAACCAUAUUAUAGCAAACAAUGUCAGGUUUGAUUCCAUCUGAUUUCAUCUGAUUUAAAACACCCAAAGCAUCUGCACCCUUUCCUUCUCUGACUAGGAAUCUAAUUACAUUAGUAUAGUCUACCAUUCCAGGACAAAAUCCCAAUUUCCUCAAUUCUCCUAAAAAUCUCAUAACCUCAACCCCACAUAUAUCUGCCUGUUCACAAAGUGAAGAUAAUAGCAUAGAGCAUAUGUCUGUGUCAACAUUAAACCCAUCAUUUAUCAUGCAUUUAAAUAUCUCAACAGCAAAACCGACCUUUUUAAUUCUACAAAGGGCAGAAAUCAGCAAGCGAAAGCUCGAUUCUUCAACUCGAACAUUCACUGCCCGACUCUUCAACAAAAUUUCAGGAACCAUUUUGAGACCUUCACUGGUUCUACAAAGAACUGAGAGCAGAGUAUUGAGGGAGUAAACAGAAGGGACACACCUAAACUUGGGUAGUCUAUAGAACAGCUCAACAGCUUUUUGUAUUUCAUUGGCAUUGCCAUAAACUUCAAUAAGAUGGGCCAAAAUGAAUUCAGGUGUGUCGAAUUUUUCGACCUUUUCAAGGUGAUCAAGAACUGGGGGAAUUUGGUGGAGUUGGGACGUUUUGCUCAGAGUUUUGAGGAUAAAGUGAUAAGCUCGAGGGGUGGGUUCACAAUCAUAGAUGCUAAAGGAGUGGAUAAGAGAGGAGAGAAGAUAAGGCUUGUUAGGAGUUUCUUGGCGGUGCUGUAGAGAGGAAGAUGGUGCCCUGGCUGCUUCUUUAAGGUUUUGAAAAGCUUCUCGUUGCUUGGAAGUCAGUUGCCAUUUGAUGUUGAAGGGCAAGUGUGGCCAUUUCCUGUGUUUCCUCAAGAAAAGCCGACCAGUUCUCAGAGAAGACGAUCUAACCAUAUUUUGCUGGAGCGUCUCAGACGAGCCGCUAUACCAAUACCCCAACUAAAUAAGUA
rnacentral:misc_RNA from 1 species